rnacentral:rRNA from 1 species
GAUGAACGCUCUCUUCUUUCCUAAUACAUGCAAGUCGAGCGAACAGACGAGGAGCUUGCUCCUCUGACGUUAGCGGCGGACGGGUGAGUAACACGUGGAUAACCUACCUAUAAGACUGGGAUAACUUCGGGAAACCGGAGCUAAUACCGGAUAAUAUAUUGAACCGCAUGGUUCAAUAGUGAAAGACGGUUUUGCUGUCACUUAUAGAUGGAUCCGCGCCGCAUUAGCUAGUUGGUAAGGUAACGGCUUACCAAGGCAACGAUGCGUAGCCGACCUGAGAGGGUGAUCGGCCACACUGGAACUGAGACACGGUCCAGACUCCUACGGGAGGCAGCAGUAGGGAAUCUUCCGCAAUGGGCGAAAGCCUGACGGAGCAACGCCGCGUGAGUGAUGAAGGUCUUCGGAUCGUAAAACUCUGUUAUUAGGGAAGAACAAAUGUGUAAGUAACUAUGCACGUCUUGACGGUACCUAAUCAGAAAGCAACGGCUAACUACGUG